CAGUAGCCGCGGUAAAACAGAGGGUGCAAGCGUUGUUCGGAAUUAUUGGGCGUAAAGGGUGCGUAGGCGGUGCGGUAAGUCUAUUGUGAAAUCUCCAGGCUCAACCUGGAGCCUGCAACGGAAACUGCCGUGCUCGAGUAUGGGAGAGGUGAGUGGAAUUCCCGGUGUGGCGGUGAAAUGCGUAGAUAUCGGGAGGAACACCUGUGGCGAAAGCGGCUCACUGGACCAUUACUGACGCUGAUGCACGAAAGCUAGGGGAGCAAAUAGGAUUAGAUACCCCGGUAGUCCCUGUCUCUUAUAC
rnacentral:rRNA from 1 species